GAAUUUUGCCCAAUGGACGAAAGUCUGAGGCAGCAACUCCGCGUGAGGGAUGAAGGCUCUCGGGUCGUAAACCUCUUUUCUCAGGGAAGAUCCAAGACGGUACCUGAGGAAUAAGCGACGGCUAACUACGUGCCAGCAGCCGCGGUAAUACGUAGGUCGCAAGCGUUGUCCGGAUUUACUGGGCGUAAAGAGCGCGCAGGCGGCUGGUCAAGUCCGAUGUGAAAUCUCCCGGCUCAACUGGGAAACUGCAUCGGAAACUGAUCGGCUUGAAGGUGGGAGAGGGUAGUGGAAUUCCCGGUGUAGUGGUGAAAUGCGUAGAUAUCGGGAGGAACACCAGUGGCGAAGGCGACGAUCUGGACGAUGACUGACGCUGAGACGCGAAAGCGUGGGGAGCAAAC
rnacentral:rRNA from 1 species